rnacentral:lncRNA from 1 species
UGUCCCCACUGUCUCAAGUACUCUCAGGAUCCAUGGUCUUGGCCUGGCUCCCACAGUAUUCCCUUGUGGAUAAACCUGGGCUGCAAAACUCAGGAGUGACAGACAAUGUACCAGCUGUCAGAUGGAGAAAGGCAAGAAAUUUUGGCAUCACCAUUCAUGGCACCUUGACUGCAAAGGCCCCCAAAAUAGCACACUAGAAUCAAAACAAAUCUGAGAGAGCAGCAGGUGGCUCCCACUGCAUACAGUGCUAGAUGUGUAAAUGAAGUGGAUGGUUUUAUGAGCCCAAACAACAAUAAGAUUAUCUAGAAUGAAGAUUUUAUUUUGAGGUCCUAAUAACAUGAAUAACUAAUGAAGAAAAUGACAUUUUUAUUACUUUUGAAUAUCUUCCAAAAGGAGAAAAACAAAAGAAAAUAGAGCCAGCCCUAUUUGCAAAUCAGCC